rnacentral:pre_miRNA from 1 species
AGUGGGAUAGCUGGGUCAAAUAGUGGCUCCAUUCCAAGUUUUCUGAGGAAUCUCCAUACUGCUUUCCAGAGUGGUUGUACCACUUUUCAGUUUCACCAGCAAU